rnacentral:rRNA from 1 species
UGCCUUAGUAACGGCGAGUGAAGCGGCAAAAGCUCAAAUUUGAAAUCUGGCACCUUCGGUGUCCGAGUUGUAAUUUGAAGAAGCAACUUUGGUGCUGGUCCUUGUCUAUGUUCCUUGGAACAGGACGUCAUAGAGGGUGAGAAUCCCGUGUGGCGAGGAUCCCAGUGCUAUGUAAAGUGCUUUCGACGAGUCGAGUUGUUUGGGAAUGCAGCUCUAAGUGGGUGGUAAAUUCCAUCUAAAGCUAAAUAUUGGCGAGAGACCGAUAGCGAACAAGUACAGUGAUGGAAAGAUGAAAAGAACUUUGAAAAGAGAGUGAAAAAGUACGUGAAAUUGUUGAAAGGGAAGGGCAUUUGAUCAGACAUGGUGUUUUGCGACCCUCGCUCCUUGUGGGUGGGGAUCUCGCAGCUCACUGGGCCAACAUCGGUUUUGGCGGCAGGAUAAAACUUUGGGAAUGUAGCUUGUCUUCGGAGAAGUAUUAUAGCCCAAGGCAAUACUGCCAGCC